rnacentral:rRNA from 1 species
UCGGGAAUUUUGGGCAAUGGGCGAAAGCCUGACCCAGCAACGCCGCGUGAAGGAUGAAGUAUUUCGGUAUGUAAACUUCGAAAGAAUAGGAAGAAUAAAUGACGGUACUAUUUAUAAGGUCCGGCUAACUACGUGCCAGCAGCCGCGGUAAUACGUAGGGACCAAGCGUUGUUCGGAUUUACUGGGCGUAAAGGGCGCGUAGGCGGCAAUUCAAGUCAUCUGUGAAAUCUCCGGGCUUAACUCGGAACGGUCAGAUGAUACUGCUUUGCUAGAGUGCAGAAGGGGCAAUCGGAAUUCCUGGUGUAGCGGUGAAAUGCGUAGAUAUCAAGAGGAACACCUGCGGCGAAGGCGGGUUGCUGGGCUAACACUGACGCUGAGGCGCGAAAGCUAGGGUAGCAAACGGGAUUAGAUACCCAAGUAGUCCCUGAGCGGGCUGGCAAGGCGCAU